GAUGAAGAACGUAGCGAAAUGCGAUAAGUAAUGUGAAUUGCAGAAUUCAGUGAAUCAUCGAAUCUUUGAACGCACCUUGGGCUCCUUGGUAUUCCGAGGAGCAUGCCUGUUUGAGUGUCAUGAAAUUCUCAACCUUUCUGGCUUUUGCUAGUCAGGCUUGGAUUAUGGGAGCUGCUGGCUUUUGAAGUCGGCUCUUCUAAAAUGUAUUAGCAAGAUCAUUGCUGCUCAUCAUUGGUAUGAUAAUUAUCUAUAUCAUUGAGAGUCAGUUUCCUUUAUUGGAAGAUUUUGCUCCUAACGGUCUUUAGCAAGACAACAUUUGACGAUUUUGACCUCAAAUCAGGUAGGACUACCCGCUGAACUUAAGCAUAUCAAUAAGCGGAGGA
rnacentral:misc_RNA from 1 species